rnacentral:lncRNA from 1 species
UCCUCUUUCACCUUUUGAUUGAAUGUUUUGCAACAUGUUGACUCGAAAACCAUAUUGACAUUAGGAGAGAUUCUAUAUCUAAAACAGUAUAGAGACUUGUUCAUGAUAGAACAUAUGCAACAACAGAAUAAUAUUCAUCUGGUAGACCAUACAGAAUCACUUGGACAUUGUUCAUGAUCAUCAAUUGGGGAACCAAUAGCAACAAAAGAGUAUUAACUAUCAACAAUUUUCUGAAUUGUUUCAAGAUAUUAAUUGAUCAUAGAACAAAAAGAGUACUAGGAUGACAUUUGGAGUGAAACUCGAUAUAGAACAAAAAUAUUAUU